UACAGAGGCCACGAGCGUUAGGCGGAAUCACUGGGCUUAAAGCGUGUGUAGGUGGAUCGGUAAGUACCUUGUGAAAUCCCACGACUCAAUCGUGGAACUGCUUGGUAUACUGCCAGUCUUGAGGUACUCAGGGGCAAGCGGAACAGAUGGUGGAGCGGUGAAAAUGCGUAGAUAUCAUCUGGAACGCCAAUGGUGAAGACAGCUUGCUGGGGGUAUUCUGACACUGAGACACGAAAGCCAGGGGAGCAAACGGG
rnacentral:rRNA from 1 species